AUGACAAUAUCGGAGAAAGAGACGGCAAAGGAAGCUUGGGAAGCUCUCAAGGAGAUGCAUGCUGGAGAUGAUCGUGUCAAGAAGGCUCGUGUUCAAGCUCUAAGGAGGGAGUUCGAGAGGAUGAGCAUGAAAGAAUCAGAAGGGGUCGGUGAAUUCGCGUUGAAGCUAACCUCCCUAGUUAAUGAGAUGCGAGCUCUCGGAUCAAAGAUGGAGGACAUCGCGGUUGUGGAGAAAUUACUACGAGCUGUUCCCGACAAGUUUUUACCGAUCGUUGGCACCAUAGAGCAGUGGGGAGAUGUGACGAAGAUGUCGGUGAUGGAGGUGAUCGGGCAGCUGAAGACCUAUGAGUUGACGUUGAAGGGGCGUGAACGCGACCAAGAAGAAGAGCAGUUGAUGUUCUCACGUAGUAGGGAGAAAGAUAAGCAGAAGUACCGGAAGUUCGACAAAUCUAAAGUCCGUUGCUCGAUUGUCAAGACUAUGGACACUAUUCUCGGGAGUGUCCUAAUCCGUGGAGGGAGGCAAAGAAGGAGCACGGGACUCUACAACUAG
rnacentral:rRNA from 1 species